GGGGAAUAUUGCGCAAUGGGGGGAACCCUGACGCAGCAACGCCGCGUGAAGGAAGAAGGCCUUCGGGUUGUAAACUUCUUUGAUUGGGGACGAAUAAUGACGGUACCCAAAAAACAAGCCACGGCUAACUACGUGCCAGCAGCCGCGGUAAUACGUAGGUGGCGAGCGUUGUCCGGAAUUACUGGGUGUAAAGGGCGUGUAGGCGGGGGAGCAAGUCAGAUGUGAAAUCCCGGGGCUCAACUCUGGAGUUGCAUCUGAAACUGUUUUUCUUGAGUGCUGGAGAGGAAAGCGGAAUUCCUAGUGUAGCGGUGAAAUGCGUAGAUAUUAGGAGGAACACCAGUGGCGAAGGCGGCUUUCUGGACAGUAACUGACGCUGAGGCGCGAAAGCGUGGGGAGCAAAC
rnacentral:rRNA from 1 species